GCAGCUUGCUGGACUGUAACUGACGNUGAGGCACGAAAGCGUGGGGAUCAAACAGGAUUAGAUACCCUGGUAGUCCACGCCGUAAACGAUGAAUGCUAGCUGUUAGCGAUAUACUGUUAGCGGCACAGAGAAAUCGUUAAGCAUUCCACCUGGGGAGUACGCCGGCAACGGUGAAACUCAAAGGAAUUGACGGGGGCCCGCACAAGCGGAGGAACAUGUGGUUUAAUUCGAUGAUACGCGAGGAACCUUACCUGGGCUUAAAUUGCAGUGGAAUAACGUGGAAACAUGUUAGCCUUCGGGCCGCUGUGAAGGUGCUGCAUGGUUGUCGUCAGCUCGUGCCGUGAGGCGUCGGCUUAAGUGCCAUAACGAGCGCAACCCUCAUCGAUAGUUACUAACAGGUUAAGCUGAGGACUCUAUCGAGACUGCCGACGUAAGUCGUGAGGAAGGUGGGGAUGACGUCAAAUCAGCACGGCCCUUACGUCCAGGGCUACACACGUGUUACAAUGGGGGGUACAAAGGGCAGCUACCUGGCGACAGGAUGCUAAUCUCAAAAACCUCUCUCAGUUCGGAUUGGAGUCUGCAACCCGACUCCAUGAAGCUGGAUUCGCUAGUAGUCGCGCAUCAGCCACGGCGCGGUGAAUACGUUCCCGGGCCUUGUACACACCGCCCGUCAAGCCAUGGGAGCCGGGGGGACCUGAAGUAUGCAACCGUAAGGAGCGUCCUAGGGUAAAACUGGUGACUGGGGCU
rnacentral:rRNA from 1 species